rnacentral:rRNA from 1 species
AUACGUAGGGGGCGAGCGUUGUCCGGAAUGAUUGGGCGUAAAGGGCGCGUAGGCGGCCCGGUAAGUCUGGAGUGAAAGUCCUGUUUUUAAGAUGGGAAUUGCUUUGGAUACUGUCGGGCUUGAGUGCAGGAGAGGUAAGUGGAAUUCCCAGUGUAGCGGUGAAAUGCGUAGAGAUUGGGAGGAACACCAGUGGCGAAGGCGACUUACUGGACUGUAACUGACGCUGAGGCGCGAAAGUGUGGGGAGCAAACAGGAUUAGAUACCCUGGUAGUCCACACUGUAAACGAUGAAUGCUAGGUGUAGGGGGUAUCGACCCCUUCUGUGCCGCAGUCAACACAAUAGGCAUUCCGCCUGGGGAGUACGGCCGCAAGGUUGAAAAUCAAAUGAAUUGACGGG